AUUAUCCUCCUCACUUCAUCUUCUCCACUUCGACUUCUUGCAACAUCCGUUACCACGUUCCCACUUCUUAUCAAUCAAUAGUUUUCUAAAAUUCUCUUAAUGAAUUCGUUUCGCAUCCCUCUCUCUCACCCUUUAUAUACUGUUCUUUCUUCACUUGCUACACACCAUGACCUGAGAACCUGCUCAAAUCAAGCUCCAGCAUAGUCAUGAAACCAAACGGCAAGUCCCCUGUCUCCUCCUCCAAUGAUCAGGAAGUUAUGUUCUUCAAAGAUAUCUUACCAGUACAUUUAUCUCGGAUGAAUGCAACCGUUUCAUCUUUCAAAAAGUGUAUGUUUUAUCAUACUUCUGAAGAUGCAAGGUUAUUAUGUCGUUGGCAACAUGAAACUGGUCAAUGGACAGUCUCACAUUGAGCGUCGUAUCCUUGACGAAGAGGAAAUAGCAACCACUCCACGUGUUAUGGUUCAUCUGCAAUCACAAGAGGACCUGUUAUGAAGCUUUACUUUUGGGAAAAGACUGCAACAGACUUCUGCAAGAAAUUUACAGCCUAUAAAAACACUCCCACCUUGCUUUUAGUCACGAAGGUGAACACGAAACAUCUUGGAGAGUGCUCUUCAAGCAGCCUGUCACAGCUGUCGAGAUCUUGCAGAUGAGGGGAAUAAUAGUACCUGUCACAGUGACGACCAAAGAAAGCAAAGCGUCCUAAACAUGGAAAUGAGAGCUUUCACCACUCAUCUCAGAGAUUUCACCCCUUCGUUUGCAGUUUCAGUCUUCCUAUUUCAGUUUGAGCAUUGGCUAAGGCUUUCGCCAUAGUUAACAUCUUUCAGUGUUUGAUUUGCCUUUUCUCAGUGAGAUAAGCCUGAAACGCAGUCAAGCUCUGAGUGCAGGAAGCACAAGGAGUAUUACUCUCAAGGGAGAGGUUACAUCUCAUCACAGCCGUACUCAACGUGGAGUUAGGGAUCAUGGCUUCGAACUGAGACCUCGUGGUGAUGUUCAUACAUCCCUGUGAGAUCCACGGCGCCUGGAAACCACAUCUUGAUCUGACAUCAAAGCGAGGGAGGAACCCGGAGAUGGAGGACUGUAAAGCGUCCCAGCAAGAAGCGGCGGAGGAGAGUGAACCUGUCUGUCGGAGGUGGUGAGAGUAGACGAGACGGAGGCCUUGGAGGAGGUACUGGCAAAUAAAAAAUAUUUGGUAAUUUUUUCAGUUUGAGCAUUGGCUAAGGUUUUCGUUUUAGUUAACAUCUUUCAGUGUUUGAUUUUUCUUUUUCCCCUGCAAUCAGUUUACAUAUUUGGUAAUUUUUUAUUAUGUGAUGAUUAUAAGCUUUUAAAACAAUCACUUGGUAUUUUCAAUUAUAAUUGUGGUUUCUC